UCAAACUUGGUCAUUUAGAGGAAGUAAAAGUCGUAACAAGGUCUCCGUUGGUGAACCAGCGGAGGGAUCAUUAAUGAGUUAUUAAAACUCCAAACCCUAUGUGAACCUUACCGUCGUUGCCUCGGCGUGAGCUACGGCUACCCUGUAGUUACCCUGGAGCUACCCUAUAGCUACCCUGUAGUUACCCUACAGCUACCCUAUAGUUACCCUGGAGCUACCCUGUAGACGGCUUAUAGCCCGCCGAAGGACCGCUAAACUCUUGUUUUUAAUGCUGUUAUUCUGAAUUAUAAACUAAAAUAAGUUAAAACUUUCAACAACGGAUCUCUUGGUUCUGGCAUCGAUGAAGAACGCAGC
rnacentral:misc_RNA from 1 species